rnacentral:rRNA from 1 species
AGGGAAUCUUCCGCAAUGGGCGCAAGCCUGACGGAGCGAUGCCGCGUGAGCGAGGAAGGCCUUCGGGUCGUAAAGCUCUGUUGUCAGGGAAGAAGUCCUUGGGUGUGAAGAAUGCCUGAGGUUGACGGUACCUGACGAGGAAGCCCCGGCUAACUACGUGCCAGCAGCCGCGGUAAUACGUAGGGGGCGAGCGUUGUCCGGAAUCACUGGGCGUAAAGGGCGCGUAGGCGGCUGGUUAAGUCUGGUGUCAAAGACCACGGCUCAACCGUGGGGGGGCACUGGAAACUGGCUGGCUUGAGUGCAGGAGAGGGAAGCGGAAUUCCCGGUGUAGCGGUGAAAUGCGUAGAGAUCGGGAGGAACACCAGUGGCGAAGGCGGCUUCCUGGCCUGUAACUGACGCUGAGGCGCGAAAGCGUGGGGAGCGAAC